CUAAAGGAUCAUCUCUGGAAAUCGCUGCAGGUUUCCUUCACUAUGACCCAGAGCACUGGACCGAACCUGAGAAAUUCAUCCCGGAGAGGUUCACUCCAGAAGCCAAGGCCAGCCGGCACCCGUUUGUGUAUCUGCCGUUUGGAGCAGGGCCACGCAGCUGUGUAGGCAUGAGACUGGCCCAGCUGGAGAUUAAAAUGGCUCUGCUUCACAUAUUUAGGCGGUUUAAUGUGAUGGCCUGCGAGGACACUGAGGUUCCUCUGGAGUUGAAGUCGCACACCACCCUUGGACCCAAGAAUGGUAUUUUGGUCAAAAUCACCAAGAGGGAGAAUUUUGAGGAUGAGUCCUGAUAGAUUUUAGUGGUCAGCUGGACAGUCUGAUUCUAAUCAAAUUAUUUAGAAAUCUAAACUCUUAUUCUGGAAUCACCUGACGACUAAAUCAUAUGCAUCUGUGCUACUCAUUUAAAUUAAAUGCAAUUCAACACUAUUCAUUUACGACUAAGGCACAGAUGUACACAGAGCAAUGCAUCACACAGUACAUAAUGUGGAUAUUAUUCUAGUGAACACUAUCAGCCUUUAUAUUUCUCAUCUCAGAUCAGCAACAUAAGAGUGAUCAUUACUAUAAGAAACCACCCAGAUGACUAACAGCACAUAUGCACAUUUUGUUACUAAAGCCAAUGAAAUGUAAGUCCCUGCAAUGUAAGUAAAUACAACAAAUUAUAUGGAAGAAAAUCAGUUUUGAUUUAGAUGUAAAUGAUUUGAUAGAAGGAACUGGGAUUGGACACGUCUUGCCUUAUUGCCAGCGAGAUAUUUGAACUUCUGAUGAUUACGCUGUUAUUUGACAUAUUUUAUAUUACAUUAAGCUGCAAUGAAGUUCCAGAAUGAUGUGAUUUUUAAGGUUUGGGUGUACAGAUUGUGCUACAAUGUGAUUGUUUACUCAGGGUAUGAACUGUAUAAACACUAAAUGAUUUGAAAUCAAAAGUAUUACUUAAUAAAUGGUUUAUCA